AAAAAGGUGAUAGAAUGAUUAUAUGGUUGGCUUGAAACCGAUAAAUGUAGGUUUAAUUCCUACCCUUUUUG
rnacentral:tRNA from 1 species